rnacentral:rRNA from 4 species
AACUGCAGGACACAUGAACAUCGACAUUUUGAACGCACAUUGCGGUCCAUGCUAAUGUUUAACUUGUUAGACUGCAUGGACCACGUAUGGUUGAGUGUCGUAA